GAAAGAAAUUCUGUGCCAGCUAGUCCUUUUCUUCUCCUCCCUGAUGAGCUUCAAGCCAUGGAAGGUAAAAGAAGGCGAGAGUGGAGGAAAAAGACGUGCCUACUUCCCCUGCAUCUUUGCCAUGUUUGUAAGUUUCCUGAGGCCUCCGCAGCCAUGCUUCCUGUACAGCCUGCAGAACUGUGAGUCAGUCAAACCUCUUUUCUUUUUAAAUUACCCAGUAUUGACUGGGUACGAUGGCUCACACAUGUAAUCCCAGC
rnacentral:lncRNA from 1 species